CGGUUUCCAGAGAUGGAUUCCUUCAGUUCGGCUGGAUCUUAGACAGGUGUUGCAUGGCUGUCGUCAGCUCGUGUCGUGAGAUGUUGGGUUAAGUCCCGCAACGAGCGCAACCCUCGCCUUUAGUUGCCAUCAUUAAGUUGGGCACUCUAGAGGGACUGCCGGUGAUAAGCCGGAGGAAGGUGGGGAUGACGUCAAGUCCUCAUGGCCCUUAUGGGUUGGGCUACACACGUGCUACAAUGGCGGCGACAAUGGGCAGCGAAGGGGCGACCCGGUAGCAAAUCCCAAAAAAGCAGUCUCAGUUCGGAUUGAAGUCUGCAACUCGACUUCAUGAAGUCGGAAUCGCUAGUAAUCGCGGAUCAGAACGCCGCGGUGAAUACGGUUCUCGGGGUUU
rnacentral:rRNA from 1 species